rnacentral:rRNA from 1 species
GGAUUAGAUACCCUGGUAGUCCACACCGUAAACGAUGUCUACUAGCUGUUUGUAUCUUUAAGAUGUGAGUAGCGCAGCUAACGCGAUAAGUAGACCGCCUGGGGAGUACGGCCGCAAGGUUAAAACUCAAAUGAAUUGACGGGGGCCCGCACAAGCGGUGGAGCAUGUGGUUUAAUUCGAUGCAACGCGAAGAACCUUACCUACACUUGACAUCCAGAGAACUUACCAGAGAUGGUUUGGUGCCUUCGGGAACUCUGAGACAGGUGCUGCAUGGCUGUCGUCAGCUCGUGCCG